GACGAACGCUGGCGGUGUGCUUAACACAUGCAAGUCGAACGGUAAGGCCCUUUCGGGGGUACACGUGUGGCGAACGGGUGAGUAACACGUGAGUAACCUGCCCUCAUCUCUGGGAUAACAGUCGGAAACGGUUGCUAAUACUGGAUAUGAGCUUGCAAGGCAUCUUGUGGGUUGGAAAGAUUUUUUUGGUUGGGGAUGGACUCGCGGCCUAUCAGCUUGUUGGUGAGGUAGUGGCUCACCAAGGCUUCGACGGGUAGCCGGCCUGAGAGGGCGACCGGCCACAUUGGGACUGAGAUACGGCCCAAACUCCUACGGGAGGCAGCAGUGGGGAAUAUUGCACAAUGGACGGAAGUCUGAUGCAGCAACGCCGCGUGCGGGAUGACGGCCUUCGGGUUGUAAACCGCUUUCAAUUGUGACGAAGCUUUUUGUGACGGUAGCAGUAGAAGAAGCACCGGCUAACUACGUG
rnacentral:rRNA from 1 species